GACGAACGCUGGCGGCGUGCUUAACACAUGCAAGUCGAACGGAAAGGCCCUGCUUUUGUGGGGUGCUCGAGUGGCGAACGGGUGAGUAACACGUGAGUAACCUGCCCUUGACUUUGGGAUAACUUCAGGAAACUGGGGCUAAUACCGGAUAGGAGCUCCUGCUGCAUGGUGGGGGUUGGAAAGUUUCGGCGGUUGGGGAUGGACUCGCGGCUUACCAGCUUGUUGGUGGGGGAGGGGCUUACCAAGGCUUUGACGGGUAGCCGGCCUGAGAGGGUGACCGGCCACAUUGGGACUGAGAUACGGCCCAGACUCCUACGGGAGGCAGCAGUGGGGAAUAUUGCACAAUGGGCGGAAGCCUGAUGCAGCAACGCCGCGUGCGGGAUGACGGCCUUCGGGUUGUAAACCGCUUUCGCCUGUGACGAAGCGUGAGUGACGGUAAUGGGUAAAGAAGCACCGGCUAACUACGUG
rnacentral:rRNA from 1 species